CCUACGGGUGGCUGCAGUGGGGAAUAUUGGACAAUGGGGGGAACCCUGAUCCAGCCAUGCCGCGUGUGUGAAGAAGGCCCUCGGGUUGUAAAGCACUUUCAGUGAGGAAGAACGCCUGGUGGUUAAUACCCAUCAGGAAAGACAUCACUCACAGAAGAAGCACCGGCUAACUCCGUGCCAGCAGCCGCGGUAAUACGGAGGGUGCGAGCGUUAAUCGGAAUUACUGGGCGUAAAGCGCGCGUAGGUGGCUUGAUAAGCCGGUUGUGAAAGCCCCGGGCUCAACCUGGGAACGGCAUCCGGAACUGUCAAGCUAGAGUGCAGGAGAGGAAGGUGGAAUUCCCGGUGUAGCGGUGAAAUGCGUAGAGAUCGGGAGGAAUACCAGUGGCGAAGGCGGCCUUCUGGACUGACACUGACACUGAGGUGCGAAAGCGUGGGUAGCAAACAGGAUUAGAUACCCCAGUAGUC
rnacentral:rRNA from 1 species